GAUUUCAAACUUAUGAGUUCGGAAUUCUAAUCGUUUGAAGUUACUGAGUUUUAAAUUAAUAAUUUAUACGUAUUCAAUAGAAUUUUUAAGACAAAUACAAGGUUCGAACUAAAGCUACUGGGAUGUGACCAAUUAUUCUGUACUCCUUCAUGUCUAUAGUCUGGCUCAUAAGCCAGAGUUAUUACUUGAUAAAUUAAGGAGUAUGAGACGCAAAGGGAUAUGCCCGAAUAUUGUGACAUAUAGCUCAGUCAUCAAGUGUUCGGUCGAACCCGCUUUCGGCACUCUAGCUCCGCCCCUGAUCAUCACAAACUGAUAAAGACAAUAAAAUUAAUGGGUAUAUACAGAAAUUUCUCUCCUUUUUUCCCUUCAUUUAUAUUUAAUCCGAUCAUAUGCAUAAAUGAAGGAUCCCCUUCUUGCACCUGCAUUGCCACAAAGUGAGAUCACUUUAAAACCCUAUUAUUUGUGAUCUUCUAAACUGAAACAUAUGUGAAACAAAAACAAGAAGGAAAAUUAGGAAAUGGACUCUUAAUAUCAACACACAGGGAGGUGGCCCCAGGAGGAGAGAGGGAGGAAAACAAAAAACGAAGACAAGAGGAAAAGAAUAAAACAGUGAAAGAGAGAAUACUCUACUCUAUGGAGCGAGCAGACAAUGCGUUCC
rnacentral:lncRNA from 1 species